AUGGAGCUUUAGACACCAGGCAGAUCACGUCAAGCAACCUUGAAUUAACAAGUAAAAACGCAGUGACCCCUAGCCCGUAUGUCUUUGGUUGGGGCGACCGCGGGGGAAAAUUAAGCCCCCAUGUGGACUGGGGGCACUGCCCCCACAGCCGAGAGCUACAGCUCUAAGCACCAGAAUAUCUGACCAAAUAUGAUCCGGCGAACGCCGAUCAACGGACCG
rnacentral:rRNA from 1 species